rnacentral:rRNA from 1 species
CAGCAGCCGCGAGAAUACGGAGGGAGCUAGCGUUGUUCGGAAUUACUGGGCGUAAAGCGCGCGUAGGCGGUUACUCAAGUCAGAGGUGAAAGCCCGGGGCUCAACCCCGGAACUGCCUUUGAAACUAGGUGACUAGAAUCUUGGAGAGGUCAGUGGAAUUCCGAGUGUAGAGGUGAAAUUCGUAGAUAUUCGGAAGAACACCAGUGGCGAAGGCGACUACCUGGACUGAUACUGACACUGAGGUGCGAAAGCGUGGGGAGCAAACAGGAUUAGAUACCCCUGUAGUCCCUGUCUCUUAUAC